UGGGACGCCCGGCUGUGGAUAGUCCCUGGGGGGGGAGUGGAGGAGGGGGAGGAGACCAGGCAGGCUGCCAUUCGGGAAGUGAGAGAGGAAGCCGGUGUUUGUGGCUACAUCAAAAAAACACUUGGAGUUUUUGAGAACCCAGAGAGGAAGCACCGCACUACAGUUUAUCUGCUUGUAGUGAGUGAGUUAUUGCAAGACUGGGAUGAAGCAAGAGAUUUUGGAAGGCGGAGACAGUGGUUCACUAUCGCCGAGGCAGUGACGGAGUUGGAAAACAUAAGCCUAUCCAAUCACAAUAUUUAGACUUACUAUCCACUACUACUACUACUACUAAUAGUACUAAUACUAGACUACUAU